rnacentral:rRNA from 1 species
UACGUAGGGUGCAAGCGUUAAUCGGAAUUACUGGGCGUAAAGCGUGCGCAGGCGGUUUUGUAAGCCAGAUGUGAAAGCCCCGGGCUCAACCUGGGAACUGCGUUUGGAACUACAAGGCUGGAGUUUGGCAGAGGAGACUGGAAUUCCUGGUGUAGCAGUGAAAUGCGUAGAUAUCAGGAGGAAUACCGAUGGCGAAGGCAGGUCUCUGGGCUAUAACUGACGCUCAUGCACGAAAGCGUGGGGAGCAAACAGGAUUAGAUACCCGAGUAGU